CCAGCCCAGCCCCACAAGAACAGGAGAGAGCAGGACCUCUGCUCUCUCCACUGCUGUGUCCCCAACUAGAACAGUGUCUUAAUCAUAGCAGACGUUCACGAUUUAUUUGAAAACAAUGUGGUGGUAACCUUGAAAACCAACAUCCACAACCAUGCCGAAAACCAGCAAACUGGCAGCCACUGGAAGGAGACAGAGCAGGCAGGGCUGGAGCUCCUUCAAAGCCCCAUUCCCAGAGAACUGUCAUUAUCUGACCUGCCUGGUGGUUUCCUAGAAGACCCUACUUACCAGACACACUGCACCCCCGCAAACCUCCGGACACAUCUUCCCACCUCCACGUCCUCAUGAGUCGUGUACAUUUCCCGGAGACACUUUCCAAUGUGCGGCACCAUUCUCCGGAGAACCUCCCGGCUCAUGAUCACACCGGGCCCCCCCAUGCAGAAGUUCUCACCGGGUUCCAGGGCCAGUUUCCCCAUCUCUUCCGUGGUGCCCAGUCCUGUCUGCCCGAGAAAGAGGGGCUCACUGCUAUUCAAACUCCUCAGAAAAUUCUCCAGACGGUCUCCUUUGAUAUACACGUCAUCAUCUGCUCUCAUAAACCAUUCAUACUUGUC